UAUUCUACCCCACGGGGAAGGAUGAGAAGCUUCGACUAAGGUUCGACUCGAGCGAAGCGAGAGAACGUUGCCGCAGGCAACGGCCCGAAGGGCGAGGCGCUUUAGCGCCGAGUAAUCCUUCCCCCACCACCA
rnacentral:sRNA from 1 species